rnacentral:rRNA from 1 species
CUGGCCCUAAACGGUGCGCGUUUGCUGUAAGUGGAAUCGACCCCACUUGUGGCGUAGUUAACACGUUAAACGCGCCGCCUGGGAANCGCGAAGAACCUUACCUGGCCUUGACAUGCAAAUAGUAGAAGGGUGAAAGCCUGACGAGGUAGCAAUACCAGUUUGCACAGGUGC